CAGCAGAAGAACAUUGGGCCAGAAAAAAGCAUUGAGCUUGAGGGACUAGACUAAUCAAAAAAUGGAAUAACAUGGCAACAAUUACACUGAUGAGUGAGAGGGAAGCUACAGAUGCAUUCAGACACCUAUGGCACCACAGACUCAACGCAUUCAGCAUUUUGUGUUUAGUGUCUUGUGUUUUUGAGAGCAGAGUCUCAUUCCAUCACCCAGGCUGGAGUGCAGCGGCGUGAUCUUGGCAACCUCCACCUCCCAGGCUCAAGAAAUCCUCCCACCUCAGCCUCCCAAUAGCUGGAUCUACAGGCGUACACCACCACAAUCAGCUGUAUUUUUUGUAGAGACUGGGUUUCGCCAUGUUGCCCAGGGUGGUCAUGAACUUGUGAGCUCAAGUGAUCUGCCCGCCUCAGCCUCCCAAAGUGCUGGGAUUACAGGCAUGAGCCACCGCCCCUGGCCUAAUAAAAUUUAUUUUUAAAAAAGGAC
rnacentral:lncRNA from 1 species